rnacentral:lncRNA from 1 species
GCUUUGGUUAUCAGCAGCAACUCAUGCCUGGAAUGAGGCCUGGUGGAGGUCCCAUGCCAAAUUUCUUUGUGCCAAUGGUUCAGCAGGGUCAGCAAGGGCAAAGAUCGGGUGGCAGACGUGCUGGUGCCAUUCAGCAAACCCAGCAGCCUGUACCUUUGAUGCAGCAGCAGGUUGGUAUUGCUUUUUCUGCCUUAUUUUUUCCUCUCUGACCAUGAUUGGCCCGUUCUAAUCAAGACACUAAUGCAUAUAUUUUUAACCUGAAAGAUGCUACCUAGAGGACGCGUCUACCGUUAUCCUCCUGGACGUGGACUGCCUGAUCUUCCCAUGCCUGGUGUUGCUGGAGGAAUGUUCUCUGUUCCAUAUGAGAUGGGUGGAAUGCCACCACGUGAUGCUGUUCACCCUCAACCAGUUCCUGUGGGUGCUUUGGCUUCUGCUCUUGCAAAUGCUACUCCAGACCAGC